CAAUUGGCGAGCACUGCGUACUCCCCAGAGGUUUAGCACGAGCUCAACGCUAACAUUAUUGAUUCAUUUUCUCACCUCACAACUCGGUUUGCAGUCUCAUAAGCAGUUGUGCUCUCGUGAGGGAAACAUACCCGAGGAGAUAGCUGUCAUUUCGUCAAAUCAACACAUAAAAAAUGGCGAGAAUACAAAGUUAUCGUUGUGAACUAACUGAACUAUUGGAGACGCAUCACCAAUUAUUGGACCAGUUAGCAGAAAAAGGAUGGACGAAUAUGAAAUAUCUAACAUUUGUGAGAGACUAUGAAAAAUUAGGAGUUUGGCAUAGUGAUAACUAUAAUCAUAUUUCAGUUUGUG